ensembl:lncRNA
CCUAUAUCCUGUCCCCCUCCACCCCUACCCACCCCAAAAAGACUCCCCUAUAUCCUGUCCCCCCUCAGCCCCUACCCACCCCAAAAAGACUCCCCUAUAUCCUGUCCCCCUCAUGCUGCAUCCAGCCUUCUCAUGCCACUGCUCUAGCUGUUGUCAACAGCCCAAUCCCAAAUCCACCCCUAGACCCUAUGCCAGGGACCAUCAACUAGUUUCAGCCGUAGGCCAAGUUUGAUUUUUUUCUUGAGCGGAUGGUCAGGGGGCCGGAUCAUAAUUACAAAUCAUUUGUAGACUGCAAAUUGACCGCAAGAAGCCCAAACAGAUAUAAUUUUAAACCUUGCUUACGUUCGUAUACAAUCACUUUGGAACAUAUUUCUAAAAUUUUAAAUGACUUGGAGCUGAUUGGCUGGUGUUUCUAGUCUUAUGUCCAAACACUAAAAAAUACAAAUAAAAACGUUUUUAAUUUUUUUUUGGUCAACUUGGGGAAUGGCCCAUGGGCCUCCAGUUGGGGAACCCUGGCCACCCAAGCACUUCUGGAGAUCGAAAUGUAUUGAAUUUGGUAUAAGCAGUAUGGUGAAACUUCAACCUAGAUCUUAUCAUCUGAAGGACUACAGCUCCUUCCAGUAGGACUACAAACUCCACAAUGCAUCUCGGCUUUAUCUGCUCCUUGCCAAUCUCAAGUGAUCCCGAUUAUUAUUAUUAUUUUUUAUUAUUUUAUUUUUUUUCUCCCCCCAUUAUCGUCACGUGCCAUUACUACAGAAAAAAAAAUAAUAAUAAAAAAAAAUAUAUAUAUAUAACUUAUUUAAGUGCCUAUUGAUACAGAUUGUUUUGUACAGUUUUAAAAUUUCAGGAAUGAUGGAGAAGAAAAAGAAAUCAGUGUUUUCAUCUGUUUCUAAAGUCAGACAUUUCAUAUGCCAUUUUUUUUUUCUUCCAACAUUUUCAUUUAUCAGACUGUAUGACAUUCUGUUUCUUUAAACAAAAAGGGCUUCUUGAAUUCAUUGCAAUCUGUUUGGAAUCACUAGCAGAGAAACUCCAUGCACCUGCCUACUUUCCCUCAGUCUGUAUCAGAGUUACAUCGUUCUUCUUUCUUUGUCUUUUCCAGUAGUUGAAACAGCCUUCAUUCCCCCUUGUUUCCUUUCCUUCAUCGACACAAGGGGUUACUAGACUGGAUAGAAUUCAUUGCUUUCCCACCACAGUGCGUUAACCUACCAGUUUGUGUGUCCCAAAUACCAUUCUUAUUCCCAAUAUAGUGCUCCACUUUUGACCAGAGGUGUAUUGGUUGUGGUCAAAAAGUAGUGCACUCCAGAAGGAAUAGAGUCCCAGACAUUCUCUCAGGACACUGGCAGUGAGAAUGCAGGACAGGGAACAAGGAUUGGAAGCCAUUUUAGAGAAUUUUGAGUUUUAAUUUGCUUUUCAAGCCUUUUGCGUUGGUGCUGUAAAAAAAAAAACCUGAAAAAACGGGUCCCUGUUUUACGUCUCUGUUUAAUGCAUCCUUCCUGUGGUCUUUUCUUCCCUGAAGCAAUCGCUGAUCUAACGUGGUUGGAUAGGGCUGUUUACCCCAAUCCAGCCAAUGGUAGGAUCAGUGGUCACUCUAUGUGGAGGGAGGAAGCUAUUAUUGAUGUGCAUUCUAUAUGGCACCCUAUUGCAUACAUACAUUACAUACAUACACACACACACACACACACAUAUGUAUGCAUGCAUGCAUGCAUGUAUGUAUGUAAUGUAUGUAUGCACGCAUGUAUGCAUGCAUGUAUGCAUACACGCAUACACCCACACACAAAUAUACAUAUAUUAGUGCACUACUUAUGACCUCAGCCCAUUGUCUCUGUACACUAUAUAGGGAAUAGGGUGCCAUGACCACUGCCCAUAUAUAUAUAUAUAUAUAUAUAUGUGUGUCAUUUGGGAUACAACUGUGGAGUUAUGUUGUUUUUAGAGAUAAUCUAGAGUGCCUACCAAGGCACUGACAGGGUAUGUUCCCUAUAUCUCUCUUUUCAGAUCUACAUGAAGGGCUGUGAGCUAAAUGGCACCCCAUUUCCCUAUAUAGUGCACUACUUUUUGACUAGGACUCAGGUGUAAAGAAGUGCACUAUGUAAAGACCGUUAGGGUGCCAUUUGGGGAUAUAGACAUUGUAUUUAUGUCUCCUUUGAACACGAGAAUAUAAUUUUGUUGUUGUAGACAUUAUGGAUAAAGAAAUGUUUCGUUCUGUUUUUAUGCCCUUUUUUUAGUUUUAACUGAACGUGCCAAAUGCUAGUUCUCCUCGUGACACCGGGCAUAAACCCCACCCUGGCUCUUUACUGUUGUUAAUCAUGCCCACUCGUUACCAUUAAACAUUAUUUACACACAAUAAGCGUGUCAAAUUGUUAUUAAACUAAGAUGCUAUUUGUAGAAAUAUAGUGAAGUUAUAUCAUGUUUGACUGCGAUGUGGUUGUCUUAUCUAUUUGUUGAAUGGGGCGGCAGGGUAGCCUAGUGGUUAGAGCGGUGGACUAGUAACCGGAAGGUUGCAAGUUCAAAUCCCCGAGCUGACAAGGUACAAAUCUGUCGUUCUGCCCCUGAACAGGCAGUUAACCCACUGUUCCUAGGCCGUCAUUGUAAAUAAAAAUGUGUUCUUAACUGACUUGCCUAUAAAGGUAAAAUAAAAAAUGAACUGACUGAAUAAGAUGGAUGCCUGUCUGCUAAAUGACCAAAAUGUAAUCAUGUGGAAAUACAUAUAAAUUAUAAUGAAUUUUACUACCUCAACGAUCCCAAUGAAUACACUUCAGCUAGAGGUGGGGAGACUGGUCGCCGGUUCGAUACCCGGGGUCGACUAGGUGAAAAAUCUGUCGGUGCCCAUUGAGCAAGGCCCUAAUUGCUCCUGUAAGUUGCUCUAUACAGAAGAGAGCCCUAUUUGGUAAAAGAUCAAGUCCAUAUUAUGGCAAGAACAGCUCAAAUAAGCAAAGAGAAAUGAAAAUCCAUUACUUUUAAGUCAAUCUGGAAAAUUUCAAGAACUUUGAAAGUUUCUUUAAGUGCUGUCUCAAAAACCAUCAAGCGCUAUGCUAUGAUGAAACUGGCUCUCAUGAGGACCGCCACAGGAAAGGAAGACCCAGAGUUACCUCUGCUGCAGAGGAUGAGUUCAUUAGAGUUACCAGCCUCAGAUUGCGGGCCAAAUAAAUGCUUCACAGAGUUCAAGUAACAGACACAUCUCAACAUCAACUGUUCAGAGGAGACUGUGUGAAUCAGGCCUUCAUGGUCAAAUUACUGCAAAGAAACCACUACUAAAGGACACCAAUAAUAAGAAGAGACUUGCUUGGGCCAAGAAACAUGAGCAAUGGACAUUAGACCGGUGGAAAUCUGUCCUUAGGUUCUGAUGAGUCCGAAUGAGAGAUUUCUGGUUCCAUCCGCCGUGUCUUUGUGAGACGCAGAGCAGGUGAACGGAUGAUCUCAGCAUGUGUGGUUCCAACCGUGAAGCAUGGAGGAGGAGGUGUGGGGGUUGUUUGCUGGUGACACUGUCUGUGAUUCAUAUAUAUUUAUAUAUAUAUAUAUUUUUAUGCAUCCUUUAAUUAACCUUUUGUUUAACAAGGCAAGUCAGUUAAGAACAAAUUCUUAUUUACAAUGAAGGCCUACACUGGUUAAACCCAGCCAACGCUGGGCCAAUUGUGCGCCGCCCUAUGGGACAUAAUGUCUAUAAUACUGUAAUAAGCUCACUUAAUUGCUGUCACAAAUUCCAAACUCUUCACAGUUGUCUCUGGUCAUGGUUAGUAAUUUCCGAGUGAGCAAACUAUUUAUUUACUCAAAGCAUCCAUAUAGAUAGAUGCAUUUUUAUGUUUUUUUUCUAUGGCAGACCACAUUUUUUAAAAGAUUUGUACAAAAAAAACGAAUGAAUGCAACUAUGUCAAAUUGCUUUGUGUUCUACUUGUAGCCCUGG